GCAUAGCAACGUGACUAGAGUCACGUUGUCUGGCCAAGAAAAGAGGAAGUAAGAAAAGAGGAAGUCAGGGAAAACGGGGCUUAGAGACAGAUGGCCAGUCAGAAACGGGAAGUUAGGUAAGAGUCUGGAACAUUCCAGAAUCUUCCAGUCAAAAGGUAGCAACAAGUAUACUGUAACCAAUGUACUGUUGAGAAUAAUGUGAUGCAUUAUAACCCCAUAACAGAGAGAGGUGGAUUGGCGAAGAAAAGUAUCCACCCUGAAACCGAGGGUAUAUAGGGAUGUACAAUUCAUUAUUAUACGGGAUUUCGUACUUGUACGAAGCAUCUAAUGGACCACAGAGAGGUCUCUUGACCCGUUUGGACUGAAAUAACUUUGCCAGCUCUCCAAGAAGGACUCGAUUCGACAAACAAGAGACUUGUCUCCAUUCUGAUCUCCCCCUGCGAGAAAAGCAAAAGAGGAACAGGACUUCCGGGUCCACCAGAGGAACAAGGGCGUUGGCCCCUCGGGCCACGGCUCGCUCAGGACCGACACCACUUCCCCUGCCCCCCCCCUCUCCCUGACGCAGCCGAAGCCCGAAUCUGAUCACUCGGCCGGGUGAUUCGUCAGGCUUCCCCCCAAAUUCCAGAGACUCUUUUCGGACACUUUCGAACUUCCCCCUCCCCCUCUCCGGGACCUCUCAAACUUCUCUCUGUUCCCUGGAUUUGAGAUGUGCGUCUCGUCUCCCCGGAUUUCCCCUGGACUUCUUGCUGCCUUUCCGGAUCUCGACUUCUCGCGUGCCCACGGACUUUCGAGCCUGCCUUGCCCUCUCUGGACUUCCACAUCCUUCGCAACAAGCACCUUCAACACUUGCCGGUAACACUCUCCAGUUAAUUACAGCACAUAGGCGCACACCACACAUUUUGGUUAGUUUCACACGUCAUAUUCUUGUACUAAUAAACACGAAGGCUAAGCGACGCCCCUGUCUCAGGGCCGUCUCCUUCUCCACUGUA